GGGUUGUGAGGUUAAGCGACUAAGCGUACACGGUGGAUGCCCUGGCAGUCAGAGGCGAUGAAGGGCGUGCUAAUCUGCGAUAAGCGCCGGUAAGGUGAUAUGAACCGUUAUAACCGGCGAUACCCGAAUGGGGAAACCCAGUGUGAUUCGUCACACUAUCAUUAACUGAAUCCAUAGGUUAAUGAGGCGAACCGGGGGAACUGAAACAUCUAAGUACCCCGAGGAAAAGAAAUCAACCGAGAUUCCCCCAGUAGCGGCGAGCGAACGGGGAGGAGCCCAGAGCCUGAAUCAGCAUGUGUGUUAGUGGAAGCGUCUGGAAAGGCGCGCGAUACAGGGUGACAGCCCCGUACACAAAAGCGCAUGUGCUGUGAGCUCGAUGAGUAGGGCGGGACACGUGGUAUCCUGUCUGAAUAUGGGGGGACCAUCCUCCAAGGCUAAAUACUCCUGACUGACCGAUAGUGAACCAGUACCGUGAGGGAAAGGCGAAAAGAACCCCGGCGAGGGGAGUGAAAAAGAACCUGAAACCGUGUACGUACAAGCAGUGGGAGCCUCUUUUAUGGGGUGACUGCGUACCUUUUGUAUAAUGGGUCAGCGACUUAUAUUCUGUAGCAAGGUUAACCGAAUAGGGGAGCCGGAGGGAAACCGAGUCUUAAUUGGGCGUUAAGUUGCAGGGUAUAGACCCGAAACCCGGUGAUCUAGCCAUGGGCAGGUUGAAGGUUGGGUAACACUAACUGGAGGACCGAACCGACUAAUGUUGAAAAAUUAGCGGAUGACCUGUGGCUGGGGGUGAAAGGCCAAUCAAACCGGGAGAUAGCUGGUUCUCCCCGAAAGCUAUUUAGGUAGCGCCUCGUGAAUUCAUCUCCGGGGGUAGAGCACUGUU
rnacentral:rRNA from 1 species